AAUCGAAAUUUCAGAUGAAAAUUUUACUAGAAUUUAUUUGACACCGAAUGAAUUUAAAGGUAUCUACUUAGGUUUGCUACAAUUUCAAUUCGACCAAAGCGUUCAAUACAUUUUGAAUGCUUAGAGGUAAGUACACUUUUAGCAAAUGUUCCUCUUGUCACGUAAAUAUGUUAUCUGCGAAAGUAAGUUAUCUAUGUCCGAUGUUGGUGAACUAUAUGUCAUAGAUAUAUUGAACUCACUGUAUCGCUAGUUAUUUGCGUUUAUCGCAUGAACUAGGUUGCUGAAGUGUACAUUACAUAGAUAUAUUGAACUCACUGUAUCGCUAGUUAUUUGUGUCUGAAAUUAAGCUUAAGUUACUGUUGUAUGAACUAGAUACUCUUAUUUAAUCAUCAUGAAAAAAAACCAACUUUGUGUAACAUUCAUAUUUUAGUUUGGAUUGUGUGUCAUACACCUACAGCUUGCUACCCGAUGCUGAAUCCAGCAGUCACAGGGUUAGGUUGGCUAGCGGGUCUUUUAAGGUUGUUUCGCACCAGUUGACGGGCGUGCCCUUUAACUUCAGCUAGGUAUCUGAUUCGGAACCCAGCUGUCGCAGGGUUCGGUCGGCUAGCGUACCCUUUAAGGAUGUCUCACACCAAUUGACCAGUGGGCCCCAUUUAAACAGUAGGCGGUCUGCCUCACACCAGUCGUGUGACCCCUUUAAGUAUUAUUUAGUCUAUCUCACUACCGUCGCGCGAGCCCUUUAACCAGUCUCACAUCCACCACACCCUCCCAAACCAUAGUAUUUUUUCCCAACUACCAAGUCUUUACUAGAAUGCUAAAGCCUUUCAAUUGAAGCAAGUCUACAUUUCCCGCCGCCUCCCUGACGCUACAAGAGUGACAGCAGUGAUACUGUCUACUGCCCCCGGUUGGUGCCUGUCUCAGCAAAAAAGUCACUCAGAUGUCAUGAGCACCUGACAUUUCCGAUCUUAGGUCACGUUAGGUACGUGCUUCGCACGAUAAUGUGAACGUGUCUUAAUUGUUAUUGGUUGAAAUCAUUUGUGCGAAUGUGUAUGAAUUACUAUUGGGUGAAAUGAUGUUUACGAAACGUGCAUUAAUUGUCAUUGGUCAACACUCAUUUAGGAAUAAUAUAUAAAAAAGCGUAGUGAAUUCGUAAUCACCACAGUUUACCAACCAUGAUCGCCUUAGCGCUACUCCUCAGUCUUCUCACUACGGGGGCAAGCAGUAUUUCGCUAUUUAGCAAAAUGUGCGAACCAGUCGCACAUUUGCUGAGGUGCAGACCUGUGGGUGGUCGUGUAUUAGAACAUACGAGAGGAGCGACAUAUGCUUACAUCACUACAAUUCAUCUUCAUGGCAUCACAGACCGUCUCAAAAUUGACGUAAAAAAAUUCCCGCAACUAGAAGUAAGUGUUAUUUUAUAUCUUCAUUGUCAUGUGUUGUCGUAAUUAUUCUAAAGUUUAUACGUAUAGUAUUUUGUUUGCAAGCUGCUUUAAACAUUGGAGUUUUAUACACCUUGGUCAUAACAUGAGAAUUGAACGUUAUCAAUAAUAACCAAUAGUAAUUAAUUGAUAUCUCUUUACAGAAAAUUAUUGGAGGAGAACCGUCAUGUGAUGGUUUGAUAGGCGAUGUAAAGACCGUCAUUGCUGUCAAUGAAAAACAAUGCAUCGUCCAGACGACUUCACCAGUCUCAACCACCAUGCUCUCUCCAUCACCUGCUACCUUCCUUGCAACAUCCUCUACCCCUCCUUUAACAUCUACUGCUAUACCUAUUCCAACACAUACUACCUUUCCUGCAACACCCACUACUCUGCCUGCUACCCUUCCACCAACGGACACUACCUUUUUUUCCUGUAACGUCUACUAGUUUUCCUAUAGUAUCCUCUCCAUCACUCACUACCUUUCCUUCAGCACCCAUAACACCCCCACCGACACACUCUACUCUUUUUUCAAAACCUACUACCAUCUCUCCAGCAUUCACCUUCUCCACAUCGGCUCAAACAUCCACCCACAGCAUUUCUACAGGUCCCUUCGAGAGACGCAGACGAGUCGAGGAUGAUGAUUAUGAUCUGGAAAAUGUUGACGGUUACGACGGUGGCAUCAACCUUGCCCACAUGGUUACUGCACUGCUGGUGCUGGUGGUUCUAGUAAUACUCCUCGUGGUAGGUGUGACGAUGAGACAUCGUAUCCUCAGACAAAUUAACAGGAUCCGUUGUUAUCUACGCAUCCGACGCCUCAGACAUCAACUUCGCAGUUCACAACGUCGAGUCACUCAGGAGGAAGACAUCACACCCACUUCAUCACAUCAUGCCUCUCCGUCUC
rnacentral:lncRNA from 1 species